rnacentral:rRNA from 1 species
GGGUUGUGAGGUUAAGCGACUAAGCGUACACGGUGGAUGCCCUGGCAGUCAGAGGCGAUGAAGGACGUGCUAAUCUGCGAUAAGCGCCGGUAAGGUGAUAUGAACCGUUAUAACCGGCGAUUUCCGAAUGGGGAAACCCAGUGUGACUCGUCACACUAUCAUUAACUGAAUCCAUAGGUUAAUGAGGCGAACCGGGGGAACUGAAACAUCUAAGUACCCCGAGGAAAAGAAAUCAACCGAGAUUCCCCCAGUAGCGGCGAGCGAACGGGGAGGAGCCCAGAGCCUGAAUCAGCAUGUGUGUUAGUGGAAGCGUCUGGAAAGGCGCGCGAUACAGGGUGACAGCCCCGUACACAAAAGCGCAUGUGCUGUGAGCUCGAUGAGUAGGGCGGGACACGUGGUAUCCUGUCUGAAUAUGGGGGGACCAUCCUCCAAGGCUAAAUACUCCUGACUGACCGAUAGUGAACCAGUACCGUGAGGGAAAGGCGAAAAGAACCCCGGCGAGGGGAGUGAAAAAGAACCUGAAACCGUGUACGUACAAGCAGUGGGAGCACCCUUCGGGGUGUGACUGCGUACCUUUUGUAUAAUGGGUCAGCGACUUAUAUUCUGUAGCAAGGUUAACCGUAUAGGGGAGCCGGAGGGAAACCGAGUCUUAAUUGGGCGUUAAGUUGCAGGGUAUAGACCCGAAACCCGGUGAUCUAGCCAUGGGCAGGUUGAAGGUUGGGUAACACUAACUGGAGGACCGAACCGACUAAUGUUGAAAAAUUAGCGGAUGACCUGUGGCUGGGGGUGAAAGGCCAAUCAAACCGGGAGAUAGCUGGUUCUCCCCGAAAGCUAUUUAGGUAGCGCCUCGUGAAUUCAUCUCCGGGGGUAGAGCACUGUUUCGGCUAGGGGGCCAUCCCGGCUUACCAACCCGAUGCAAACUGCGAAUACCGGAGAAUGUUAUCACGGGAGACACACGGCGGGUGCUAACGUCCGUCGUGAAGAGGGAAACAACCCAGACCGCCAGCUAAGGUCCCAAAGUCAUGGUUAAGUGGGAAACGAUGUGGGAAGGCCCAGACAGCCAGGAUGUUGGCUUAGAAGCAGCCAUCAUUUAAAGAAAGCGUAAUAGCUCACUGGUCGAGUCGGCCUGCGCGGAAGAUGUAACGGGGCUAAACCAUGCACCGAAGCUGCGGCAGCGAACGUAUCACCCAAGACAACUUUACGGAGUUGACGAUUGACGGAGCGAAGCGACGUCAAAGCGUUCAUUAAAGUCGAGUUGGCUUAGGGAUACGUUCGUUGGGUAGGGGAGCGUUCUGUAAGCCUGUGAAGGUGUGUCGUGAGGCAUGCUGGAGGUAUCAGAAGUGCGAAUGCUGACAUAAGUAACGAUAAAGCGGGUGAAAAGCCCGCUCGCCGGAAGACCAAGGGUUCCUGUCCAACGUUAAUCGGGGCAGGGUGAGUCGACCCCUAAGGCGAGGCCGAAAGGCGUAGUCGAUGGGAAACGGGUUAAUAUUCCCGUACUUGGUGUUACUGCGAAGGGGGGACGGAGAAGGCUAUGUUGGCCGGGCGACGGUUGUCCCGGUUUAAGCGUGUAGGUGUGUGUUCCGGGUAAAUCCGGUUCACUUUAACACUGAGGCGUGACGACGAGGCACUACGGUGCUGAAGCAACAAAUGCCCUGCUUCCGGGGAAAAGCCUCUAAGCAUCAGGUAACAUCAAAUCGUACCCCAAACCGACACAGGUGGUCAGGUAGAGAAUACCAAGGCGCUUGAGAGAACUCGGGUGAAGGAACUAGGCAAAAUGGUGCCGUAACUUCGGGAGAAGGCACGCUGACACGUAGGUGAAGUGAUUUACUCAUGGAGCUGAAGUCAGUCGAAGAUACCAGCUGGCUGCAACUGUUUAUUAAAAACACAGCACUGUGCAAACACGAAAGUGGACGUAUACGGUGUGACGCCUGCCCGGUGCCGGAAGGUUAAUUGAUGGGGUCAGCGCAAGCGAAGCUCCUGAUCGAAGCCCCGGUAAACGGCGGCCGUAACUAUAACGGUCCUAAGGUAGCGAAAUUCCUUGUCGGGUAAGUUCCGACCUGCACGAAUGGCGUAAUGAUGGCCGGGCUGUCUCCACCCGAGACUCAGUGAAAUUGAACUCGCUGUGAAGAUGCAGUGUACCCGCGGCAAGACGGAAAGACCCCGUGAACCUUUACUAUAGCUUGACACUGAACAUUGAGCCUUGAUGUGUAGGAUAGGUGGGAGGCUUUGAAGUGUGGACGCCAGUCUGCAUGGAGCCGACCUUGAAAUACCACCCUUUAAUGUUUGAUGUUCUAACGUGGACCCGUAAUCCGGGUUGCGGACAGUGUCUGGUGGGUAGUUUGACUGGGGCGGUCUCCUCCUAAAGAGUAACGGAGGAGCACGAAGGUUGGCUAAUCCUGGUCGGACAUCAGGAGGUUAGUGCAAUGGCAUAAGCCAGCUUGACUGCGAGCGUGACGGCGCGAGCAGGUGCGAAAGCAGGUCAUAGUGAUCCGGUGGUUCUGAAUGGAAGGGCCAUCGCUCAACGGAUAAAAGGUACUCCGGGGAUAACAGGCUGAUACCGCCCAAGAGUUCAUAUCGACGGCGGUGUUUGGCACCUCGAUGUCGGCUCAUCACAUCCUGGGGCUGAAGUAGGUCCCAAGGGUAUGGCUGUUCGCCAUUUAAAGUGGUACGCGAGCUGGGUUUAGAACGUCGUGAGACAGUUCGGUCCCUAUCUGCCGUGGGCGCUGGAGAACUGAGGGGGGCUGCUCCUAGUACGAGAGGACCGGAGUGGACGCAUCACUGGUGUUCGGGUUGUCAUGCCAAUGGCACUGCCCGGUAGCUAAAUGCGGAAGAGAUAAGUGCUGAAAGCAUCUAAGCACGAAACUUGCCCCGAGAUGAGUUCUCCCUGAGACUUAGAGUCUCCUGAAGGAACGUUGAAGACGACGACGUUGAUAGGCCGGGUGUGUAAGCGCAGCGAUGCGUUGAGCUAACCGGUACUAAUGAACCGUGAGGCUUAACCUUACAACGCCGAAG